rnacentral:rRNA from 1 species
UACGAAGGGUGCAAGCGUUGUUCGGAAUUAUUGGGCGUAAGGCGCGCGCAGGCGGAUUAACAAGUCAGAUGUGAAAUCUCGGAGCUCAACUCCGAAACUGCGUCUGAAACUGUUAGUCUAGAAUGUCGGAGGGGGCAGGGGAAUUUCACGUGUAGGGGUAAAAUCCGUAGAGAUGUGAAGGAACACCGGAGGCGAAGGCGCCUGCCUGGACGACUAUUGACGCUGAGGUGCGAAAGCGUGGGGAGCAAACAGG